rnacentral:rRNA from 1 species
AUACGGAGGGUGCAAGCGUUACUCGGAAUCACUGGGCGUAAAGCGCGCGCAGGCGGUCUUUUAAGUUGGAUGUGAAAGCCUACGGCUCAACCGUAGAACUGCAUCCAAAACUAUUAGACUAGAGUGUGGGAGAGGAAGAUGGAAUUAGUUGUGUAGGGGUAAAAUCCGUAGAGAUAAAUAGGAAUACCAACAGCGAAGGCAAUCUUCUGGAACACUACUGACGCUGAGGCGCGAAAGCGUGGGGAGCAAACAGGAUUAGAAACCCUAGUAGUCC